UGAGUACGAGCUGCUACGGCAGCGAAGUGGGUGAUGUCAAGCUUCCAAGAAAAGCCCUAUACCCGUUAAGGCAUGAUGGCCUGUACCCGAAACCGACACAGGUGGGGUGGUAGAGAAUACCGAGGGGCGCGAGAUAACUCUCUCUAAGGAACUCGGCAAAAUGGCCCCGUAACUUCGGGAGAAGGGGUGCCACCGCAAGGUGGUCGCAGUGAAGAGGCCCAGGCGACUGUUUACCAAAAACACAGGUCUCCGCUAAGUCGCAAGACGAUGUAUGGGGGCUGACGCCUGCCCAGUGCCGGAAGGUUAAGGAAGCUGGUCAGCGUAAGCGAAGCUAGCGACUGAAGCCCCGGUGAACGGCGGCCGUAACAAUAACGGUCCUAAGGUAGCGAAAUUCCUUGUCGGGUAAGUUCCGACCCGCACGAAAGGCGUAACGAUCUGGGCGCUGUCUCGGAGAGAGGCUCGGCGAAAUAGAAUUGUCUGUGAAGAUGCGGACUACGUGCACCCGGACAGAAAGACCCUAUGAAGCUUUACUGUAGCUUGGUAUUGUGCUCGGGCUCGGAAUGCGCAGGAUAGGUGGGAGGCUAUGAACCAUUGCUUGUGGGUGAUGGUGAGCCACUGGUGAGAUACCACUCUUUCCGAGCUAGAGUUCUAACAGCCACCCGUUAUCCGGGGGCUGGACAGUAUCAGGUGGGCAGUUUGACUGGGGCGGUCGCCUCCUAAAAGGUAACGGAGGCGCGCAAAGGUUUGCUCAGGCUGGUUGGAAAUCAGCCGACGAGUGUAAAAGCAGAAGCAAGCUUGACUGUGAGACCUACAAGUCGAACAGGGAGGAAACUCGGCUUUAGUGAUCCGACGGUUCUGCGUGGAAGGGCCGUCGCUCAACGGAUAAAAGUUACUCUAGGAUAACAGGCUGAUCUCCCCCAAGAGUUCACAUCGACGGGGAGGUUUGGCACCUCGAUGUCGGCUCAUCGCAACCUGGGGCUGAAGUCGGUCCCAAGGGUUGGGCUGUUCGCCCAUUAAAGCGGUACGCGAGCUGGGUUCAGAACGUCGUGAGACAGUUCGGUCCAUAUCCGGUGCAUGCGCAGGAAUAUUGAGAGGAUUUCUCCCUAGUACGAGAGGACCGGGAGGAACGCACCUCUGGUGUACCAGUUAUCGUGCCAACGGUAAACGCUGGGUAGCCAUGUGCGGAGAGGAUAACCGCUGAAAGCAUCUAAGUGGGAAGCCCACCUCAAGAUGAGUAUUCCCAUGGGGUAACCCAGUAAGGUCACGGGAAGAACACCCGUUGAUAGGCUCUACGUGGAAGCGCAGUAAUGUGUGAAGCGGAGGAGUACUAAUAGGCCGAGGGCUUGACC
rnacentral:rRNA from 1 species